rnacentral:rRNA from 1 species
CAGGACGAACGCUGGCGGCGUGCUUAACACAUGCAAGUCGAACGGAGAACCCCGGAUGAAAUUUUCGGAUGGAUUCUGGGAAUUCUCAGUGGCGGACGGGUGAGUAACGCGUGAGCAAUCUGCCUCAGAGAGGGGGGACAACAGCUGGAAACGGCUGCUAAUACCGCAUAAGACCACACUACAGCAUUGUAGAGGGGUAAAAGGAGUGAUCCGCUUUGAGAUGAGCUCGCGUCCCAUUAGUUAGUUGGCGGGGUAACGGCCCACCAAGACGACGAUGGGUAGCCGACCUGAGAGGGUGAUCGGCCACACUGGAACUGAGACACGGUCCAGACUCCUACGGGAGGCAGCAGUGGGGAAUAUUGGGCAAUGGGCGAAAGCCUGACCCAAGCAACGCCGCGUGAAGGAAGAAGGUCUUCGGAUUGUAAACAUCUGUCCUAUGGGACGAAGGAAGUGACGGUACCAUAGGAGGAAGCCCCGGCUAACUACGUGCCAGCAGCAGC